rnacentral:lncRNA from 10 species
AGAAGUUACUGAAAUGCAGAUUUUGAUUCAACAAAAGGAGGAAUUUAUAACGGUUAAGUCAGUUAAGACCAAAAAGAAAAUGGAAGGCCAGGUACAGAGGCUCACACCUGUAAUCCCAGUACUGUGGCAGACCAAGGAUAGAGGAUUGCUUGAGUCCAGGAGUUCAAGACCAGCCUGGACAACAAGGCGAGACCUCAUCUCCAGAAAAAGUAAAAAAUUAGCCAGGCGUGGUGGCACACACCUGUAGUCCCAGCUACUCAGGAGGCUGAGGCAGGAGGAUUGCUUGAGCAAGGGAGGUUGAGGCUGCAGUGAGCCAUGAUCAUGCCACUGCACUCCAUCCUGAGCAACAGAACAAGACCCUGUCUAAAAAAGAAAAGAAAGAACAUGGAAACGACUACCGUGAGAAGUUCUAAGUUGUCUGUUAUUCAGAAUGUCCCCGAAUAAGUUGAUUAAUAACUUUAAAAGCAUUUGAAUGGAGAGGGGAUUUGGACUAAAUCAGAAGUUUUCAAAUUUCUUAUAGCUAGGAAAC